ACAGAAAGGAAACAGAGGCUCAGAGAAGCUAAGACAUUUGCACAGGACCACAGCUGGGCUGAGAAGAAAAAUUGAAUACUGAUGAGAAAGAAGAUGGAUAGAAGAGAGAGACAUGCAACUGGGACUCUAACAGAAAUGCCAUUCUCCCUGGGAAGGGACUAGCCCAGUCAGCAGCCACCUCACUCCAUGAGUUGGUUCUGAGGCACCCUCUGUGCCAGGCAGCUCGGGACACAAGGUGAAUUAGAUCCAACCUCACAGCCAUGUGAGGCAGACAGAGUGACACAGACUCUGUCACCAGAAGAGCAAGCAUUUGAACGGGCUGUCAGAUGGAGAGCCCAAGCACUUUCUGCUCUAGGUUCCCUCCCUCUGCUGCAGUUGGGAGAGGCUGGGCUGGGAAGCCCACAUGAGCCGUUGCAGCUCCCUGCAAGGGACUCUCACCUCCUCUCUCAGGCCUCCUCUCCCUGGGCUCCUGGCCUGGCCCUUCACACCUUUCUCCAACUCCAUCAUGACUGCAGGCUUUGGCCUUCCCUCAGGAAAAGAACGAAUUUUUCUCCACAAAAUUCUAUAAUCUCUUCCAGCCUCUCCUUUUAGCUACUGUCAUAUCCAUUCACCUAAGUGAUAACAGAAGACCACAAGUCAGAUGACUCAUAUAUUCACCUAUUCAAUAAACACUCCAGAGCAUU
ensembl:lncRNA LINC02784 long intergenic non-protein coding RNA 2784